UCUUAUCGAGAGCGGCGGAGGGAUAGGCCCGAUGAAGCCCGGCAACCGAUUUGUAUCCAGCGCGUGAAGCGUUGUACAAAUGUCAUGGUGCUAAUUCCUACAAUGGCGCAGGUUGCGGUCGUUGGCAGAUGAG
rnacentral:ncRNA from 1 species